rnacentral:rRNA from 1 species
GAUCUUGACAUCCAAUUGACCAUCUUUUAAUCGAGAUUUUGCCUUCGGGUACAAUUGAGACAGGUGGUGGCAUGGUUGUCGUCAGCUCGUGUCGUGAGAUGUUGGGUUAAGUCCCGCAACGAGCGCAACCCUUGUGUUUAGUUGCAAACAGGCCAAGCUGUGCACUCUAGACAGACUGCCGUGGACAACACGGAGGAAGGUGGGGAUGACGUCAAAUCAUCAUGCCCCUUAUGAUCUGGGCUACACACGUGCUACAAUGGCCGGUACAAUGGGCAGCGAAGCCGCGAGGCAAAGCGAAUCGCAAAAAGCCGGUCUCAGUACGGAUUGGAGUCUGAAACCCGACUCCAUGAAGUUGGAAUCGCUAGUAAUCACGCAUCAGCAUGGCGCGGUGAAUACGUUCCCGGGCCUU